CCCUAACCGCCAGAAUCCAAGCGAAUUAAAUUCCAUAACUUUUGACCGGAGGGGUAAUUUGUGUAUUCAACAAUUUAAUUAUUAUUUUUAUUUAAUCUUAAUUUUAAUUGGUUCUGAAAAUCCUCCCUCCUCUUCUUCUUCUAGCUCGCCGUGGUACUCCGACAGAGGGCGGGUGGACAUGGGGCCACGCUCCAUUGAUUGAAUAGAUGAGGGAAAAAGAGGGCUAAUUAGAAGAAGAGGCGCGGGUAGCUCGAAGCGGUAGCGGCGGCGGAGCUUCUCCAUUUUGUGGUGGCACUGGAUUCCCAAUUAGGCGGGCUCAGGUUCGGGGGAGGAGGAGGUGAGGAUUAGCUGGUCUCCUGCUGCAAUCAUGUGAUUGGUCCAGCAAACUUGCUCCGCUUCGCCAGCAAACUUGGUCCAGAAAGUUUUUCUUGUUUCCGUCUCGAGUCAUCAGCAGCAAUUGCAUUAUUGUCUUUACCCUCUUCCUCCAACUCGAAUCCCUAAUCGGAUUUUGACUCAAUGGCUCUGUGUAAGCGGAUUGCUCAAUCGAGAGCUCAUCUUGUCAUAUUUUGUCUCCUUGAUGUCAUUUUUGCUGGUAGAUUAGGAUUAGCUGGUCUCCUACUGCGACUAUGUGAUUGGUCCAGCAAAUCGAAGCAAAAGAGGUUCCUGGAUAAUGAUGAAAAAUAUCAAUUUUGGUACCCAAAUUUGAUUUAUUGAUUAUCAAUUUGUAAUGAAAUAACUGCAAUAUAUUGAUUUAUAUGUCAUAUGUGUGAAAUCCUAGUUAUUGUGUUGUACUCUAUGUUCUAGGUUUACGGUAUGAGUAGCAGCUGGAGACUGUGAAUUGUUGUUAUCCAUGUUGAUUUCUAAUGAAAUAAUU
rnacentral:lncRNA from 1 species